UUAUGCACCACACUUUUGAAUAGGCCAUUGCUCAGUACCUCGAGAUGAUCACCAACAUGGACCUGAAGACCACCUUGGAUUUGCGGGACUAACCGCCACUUGCCAUCUCUUGUGUCCAUGACUUCCAGGCCAGGUGGAUUUUCGGGCCAUAAGUCAAUCCAACGAGAGAGAGGAUAUGCAUAAUGCUUGAGGAAGACCCUCCAAAACUGGUACUUGUCAACCCCAUCCUUGAUGCUAGUCCCGUACCUUACCGGCUGAUACACAUCAUUGGACAUCAACUUCAGUUUCUCCUCCCUUGGUAAGCUGAAAAAAUCAGAUGCUGCAGAUAGAGCUCCAUCCAGCACCGAUUGACAAAUUCCAUGAUUUACUAUCUGAAUCACAAAAGGAAGAAACAAGGUCAUAUAUUUAUAUUCAAGCAACAAUGAUAUGGUUAUUUUUCUAGACAUGGAAUUGUUUGAUUUUGAAAGUUUAAUGCUUGCUUAAAUUAA